ACAUGCAGUCGAACGAGAAAGUGGAGCAUCCAUGAGUAAAGUGGCGACCGGGUGAGUAACACGUGACUAACCUACCUUCAAGUGGGGGAUAACCUCGGGAAACCGAGGCUAAUACCGCAUAAUAUCGAAAGAUCAAAGCAGCAAUGCGCUAGAAGAGGGGGUCGCGGCUGAUUAGCUAGUUGGCGGGGUAACGGCCCACCAAGGCGAAGAUCGGUAGCCGGCCUGAGAGGGCGCACGGCCACACUGGAACUGAAACACGGUCCAGACUCCUACGGGAGGCAGCAGUGGGGAAUUUUGCGCAAUGGGGGAAACCCUGACGCAGCAACGCCGCGUGGAGGAUGAAGCCCCUUGGGGCGUAAACUCCUUUCGACCAAGACGAUAAUGACGGUACUGGUGGAAGAAGCACCGGCUAACUCUGUGCCAGCAGCCGCGGUAAUACAGAGGGUGCGAGCGUUGUUCGGAAUUAUUGGGCGUAAAGGGCGCGUAGGCGGUGCCACAAGUCACUUGUGAAAUCCCCGGGCUUAACCCGGGGCCUGCAGGCGAAACUGUGGUGCUGGAGUAUGGGAGAGGUGCGUGGAAUUCCCGGUGUAGCGGUGAAAUGC
rnacentral:rRNA from 1 species